UACGAAGGGGGCGAGCGUUGUUCGGAAUUACUGGGCGUAAAGGGCGCGUAGGCGGCCGAUCAAGUCAGAUGUGAAAGUCCUGGGCUUAACCUGGGGACUGCAUUUGAUACUGAUUGGCUUGAAUUCGGGAGAGGAUAGCGGAAUUCCCAGUGUAGAGGUGAAAUUCGUAGAUAUUGGGAAGGAACACCGGGUGGCGAAGGCGGC
rnacentral:rRNA from 1 species